UACGAAGGGUGCAAGCGUUACUCGGAAUUACUGGGCGUAAAGCGUGCGUAGGCGGUUUGUUAAGUCCGCUGUGAAAGCCCUGGGCUCAACCUGGGAAUUGCAGUGGAUACUGGCAAGCUAGAGUGCGGUAGAGGAUGGUGGAAUUCCCGGUGUAGCGGUGAAAUGCGUAGAGAUCGGGAGGAACACCCGUGGCGAAGGCGGCCAUCUGGACCAGCACUGACGCUGAGGCACAAAAGCGUGGGGAGCAAACAGG
rnacentral:rRNA from 1 species